AUUGAACGCUGGCGGCAGGCCUAACACAUGCAAGUCGAACGGUAACAGGAAGCAGCUUGCUGCUUCGCUGACGAGUGGCGGACGGGUGAGUAAUGUCUGGGAAGCUGCCUGAUGGAGGGGGAUAACUACUGGAAACGGUAGCUAAUACCGCAUAAUGUCGCAAGACCGAAGAGGGGGACCUUCGGGCCUCUUGCCAUCGGAUGUGCCCAGGUGGGAUUAGCUUGUUGGUGGGGUAACGGCUCACCAAGGCGACGAUCCCUAGCUGGUCUGAGAGGAUGACCAGCCACACUGGAACUGAGACACGGUCCAGACUCCUACGGGAGGCAGCAGUGGGGAAUAUUGCACAAUGGGCGCAAGCCUGAUGCAGCCAUGCCGCGUGUAUGAAGAAGGCCUUCGGGUUGUAAAGUACUUUCAGCGGGGAGGAAGGGAGUAAAGUUAAUACCUUUGCUCAUUGACGUUACCCGCAGAAGAAGCACCGGCUAACUCCGUG
rnacentral:rRNA from 1 species